CAGCAGCCGCGGGAAUACGAAGGGGGCUAGCGUUGUUCGGAUUUACUGGGCGUAAAGCGCACGUAGGCGGACUUUUAAGUCAGGGGUAAAAUCCCGGGGCUCAACCCCGGAACUGCCUUUGAUACUGGAAGUCUUGAGUAUGGUAGAGGUGAGUGGAAUUCCGAGUGUAGAGGUGAAAUUCGUAGAUAUUCGGAGGAACACCAGUGGCGAAGGCGGCUCACUGGACCAUUACUGACGCUGAGGUGCGAAAGCGUGGGGAGCAAACAGGAUUAGAUACCCCCGUAGUCCCUGUCUCUUAUAC
rnacentral:rRNA from 1 species